CCUACGGGAGGCUGCAGUGAGGAAUAUUGGUCAAUGGCCGGAAGGCUGAACCAGCCAAGCCGCGUGAAGGACGAAGGUGCCAAGCAUUGUAAACUUCUUUUGUCAAGGGACAAAAUCAGGCUCGAGAGCCUGACCGAGGGUACUUGAAGAAAAAGCAGCGGCUAACUCCGUGCCAGCAGCCGCGGUAAUACGGAGGAUGCGAGCGUUAUCCGGAUUUCUUGGGGUUAAAGGGUGCGUAGGAGGACUGUUAAGUCAGCGGGAAAAGCCCGUGGCUCAACCCCGGCGAGGCGUUGAAACUGGCUGUCUUGCGCUGUCGAGCGGUCUGCGGCAUGCGCCGUGUAGCGGU
rnacentral:rRNA from 1 species